CCUACGGGCGGCUGCAGUGAGGAAUAUUGGUCAAUGGACGAGAGCCUGAACCAGCCAAGUAGCGUGAAGGAUGACUGCCCUAUGGGUUGUAAACUUCUUUUAUAUGGGAAUAAUAUGUUCCACGUGUGGGAUUUUGUAUGUACCGUAUGAAUAAGGAUCGGCUAACUCCGUGCCAGCAGCCGCGGUAAUACGGAGGAUCCGAGCGUUAUCCGGAUUUAUUGGGUUUAAAGGGUGCGUAGGUGGAUUGUUAAGUCAGUUGUGAAAGUUUGCGGCUCAACCGUAAAAUUGCAUUUGAAACUGGCAGUCUUGAGUACAGUAGAGGUAGGCGGAAUACGUGGUGUAGCGGUGAAAUGCUUAGAUAUCACGAAGAACUCCGAUUGCGAAGGCAGCUCACUGGACUGCAACUGACACUGAGGCUCGAAAGUGUGGGUAUCAAACAGGAUUAGAUACCCGAGUAGUC
rnacentral:rRNA from 1 species